rnacentral:rRNA from 1 species
GACGAGCGCUGGCGGCGUGCUUAACACAUGCAAGUCGAACGGAAAGGCCCUGCUUUUGUGGGGUGCUCGAGUGGCGAACGGGUGAGUAACACGUGAGUAACCUGCCCUUGACUUUGGGAUAACUUCAGGAAACUGGGGCUAAUACCGGAUAGGAGCUCCUGCUGCAUGGUGGGGGUUGGAAAGUUUCGGCGGUUGGGGAUGGACUCGCGGCUUAUCAGCUUGUUGGUGGGGUAGUGGCUUACCAAGGCUUUGACGGGUAGCCGGCCUGAGAGGGUGACCGGCCACAUUGGGACUGAGGUACGGCCCAGACUGCUACGGGAGGCAGCAGUGGGGAAUAUUGCACAAUGGGCGGAAGCCUGAUGCAGCAACGCCGCGUGCGGGAUGACGGCCUUCGGGUUGUAAACCGCUUUCGCCUGUGACGAAGCGUGAGUGACGGUAAUGGGUAAAGAAGCACCGGCUAACUACGUG